rnacentral:rRNA from 1 species
UACGAAGGGUGCAAGCGUUACUCGGAAUUACUGGGCGUAAAGCGUGCGUAGGUGGUGAGUUAAGUCUGUCGUGAAAGCCCCGGGCUCAACCUGGGAAUGGCGAUGGAUACUGGCUCGCUAGAGUGCGGUAGAGGAGAGUGGAAUUCCCGGUGUAGCAGUGAAAUGCGCAGAUAUCGGGAGGAACACUUAUUGCGAAGGCAGCUCGCUGGGACGUCACUGACGCUGAGACGCGAAAGCGUGGGGAGCAAACAGG